AUCACUGUGUUUGUGCUUGUUUAUGUUGAUGAUAUAAUUGUUGCUAGCUCAAGUCAAGCGGCCACAACCUGUUUGCUUAAGGAUUUGAAACUUGAGUUUUCUCUCAAGGAUCUAGGUGACCUUCACUAUUUUCUUGGCAUAGAAGUAAAGCAAGUCAGAGAUGGCAUACUUCUCUCACAGGAAAAAUAUACAGCUGAUGUUCUUAAGAGAGUGGGAUUGGAGAACUGCAAGCCAGUUAGCACACUGAUCUCCACCUCAGAGAAACUUACAAUUGAUAGCGGAGAAGUUCUUGGUCCAGAAGAUGCAACAAAUUAUAGAAGUGUUGUCGGUGCUUUGCAAUAUCUAACACUUACACGACCAGAUAUUUCUUACUCAGUGAAUAAGGUAUGUCAA
rnacentral:rRNA from 1 species